rnacentral:lncRNA from 1 species
GGAUGUUCAUGGUAUUAAGUCAAGUAUCAAGAAAAUAGAGCAUGAUACCAUAUUCAUCCAUCCAACAAGAAAUGAUACUAAGCAUUUAUUCAUCCAAAGAGACAUAAUAAUAUUAAUACAAUUAAAAGAAUAUGAUAAUAAACAUUCAUCCAAAGAGACAUGAGUCAAAUGGAAACAACCUCAUUCAUUUAUACCAAAAGAGAGGUUACAAGAGUCAUAAUGAGCAUGAAGCUCUCAUACAUCCAAUCUACAAAAUAUAACUAAGUAAUCUAAUACAAAAUGAUGAAAUCGGUGAGACUGGGCAUUGAGCACGAGAUCAAGAAAUGUGAGACAUGAUUAGCUUCAUCCUCGAUCGAAGGGUCUGGACCGAGAGGAAGAUGCCGGAGGAUGGAAAGCAAUAGGC